GAAAACACCUGAAAUGGUUUAAGCAUCUGCCCUGUUCAGGAGCCCCAAAGUAGCCUCUCUCUGUAGGAACAUUUAGUCCAGUAAUGGACACACUCAAGAUGAUUUAACUAUUUUUAUGGUCCCGAGAUCUGUGGUUUCCUCUGUGUGUUAAGAGCGUAGAGACUAAUAACGAGCUGAUUUAAGCAUCUUUUGUGGUCCCCAGCUCUGUGGUUGCAUCCGUGUGUUAGGAGCAUAGAGACCAAUAAUGGACAUGCUCCAGCUGAUUUAAGGAUUCUUCCAUGCUCACACGUUCUAUGGAUGCAUCUGUGUGUUAGAGUGUGAGGAACAAUGUUCUGCCGAUGCUGCCUGUUGGGAAACAACGUUUUGAGAAUCGCUGAUAAUAGGCAGAUCUAUGUGACGUUAGUUAAUGUCUUUGCUCUGCAUCAGUGAAUGGAUGUACCUGAACUGAUUGAAGCAUUCUGAAAAGACCAAGAGCUCUAGGCCGCCGCUGUGUUUAGGAAUGUAUA